ensembl:snRNA U6 U6 spliceosomal RNA
GUGCUCACUUUGGCAGCACAUAUAGUAAAAUUGGAAUGAUACAGAGAAGAUUGGCAUGGCCCCAGUGCAAGGAUGACACUCAAAUUCAUGAAGCAUUCCAUAUUUUU